UGGGGAAUAUUGCACAAUGGGCGCAAGCCUGAUGCAGCCAUGCCGCGUGUAUGAAGAAGGCCUUCGGGUUGUAAAGUACUUUCAGCGGGGAGGAAGGGAGUAACGUUAAUACCUUUACUCAUUGACGUUACCCGCAGAAGAAGCACCGGCUAACUCCGUUCCAGCAGCCGCGGUAAUACGGAGGGUGCAAGCGUUAAUCGGAAUUACUGGGCGUAAAGCGCACGCAGGCGGUUUGUUAAGUCAGAUGUGCAUUCCCCGGGCUCAACCUGGGAACUGCAUUCGAUACUGUCAGGCUAGAGUCUUGUAGGGGGGGGUAGAAUUCCAGGUGUAGCGGUGAAAUGCGUAGAGAUCAGGAGGAAUACAGGUGGCGAAGGCGGCCCCCUGGACAAAGACUGACGCUCAGGUGCGAAAGCGUGGGGAGCAAACAGG
rnacentral:rRNA from 1 species